UACGUAGGGGGCAAGCGUUGUCCGGAUUUAUUGGGCGUAAAGAGCGUGUAGGCGGCCAGACAGGUCAGCUGUGAAAACUCGAGGCUCAACCUCGAGACGUCGGUUGAAACCGUCUGGCUAGAGUCCGGAAGAGGAGAGUGGAAUUCCCGGUGUAGCGGUGAAAUGCGCAGAUAUCGGGAAGAACACCUAUGGCGAAGGCAGCUCGCUGGGACGUUACUGACGCUGAGACGCGAAAGCGUGGGGAGCAAACAGG
rnacentral:rRNA from 1 species